GAAAAAACUUCUCAUUUCACAAGUCUAACUAGCUGUAUAUAUGGGUGUUUGUACAUCUCUAAGACUGAGAAAUGGAAUUCAAGAAAUUAAAGGGUAUACAUAAAUUUUGGAGUCACAAUGGAGAGGCCCAAUUCAUCUUCUCCUCUUCCUUUCAUAUGGCAGCCCGAUAUACAUUCCAACUCCCAACUCCACGAGUCUUUCACAAAAGCGGAAAAAUCUCCAACAAAAACGUAUGUACAUUUAUUUUCAUUGCCAGUAUCCAAGUUACUCCACAAUUCCACCACAGUUGAUCAACUCUAAAGAAAUCGAGAGUUAGAGAAGUGAGUGAGCAAAGAGUUUGUUUUGGUUUCUUCUUUUCAAAAGACAAUUUUCCAGCCUCAGCAGGGACAGCGACGAUGGCGGGUGGCUAAGGCACGGUAUUUUGGGGGAGAAUUUGAGAGACACUCGAUUUGGCAGUUUCUGCGUUGGAGAGAGCGGGGGGAAUUAGAUGAGAGGAUGAGGAACAUGCAACCGGCGACGGUGGAGUGGGCCAGGAAGGGAUGUGUGAUGGAGAAGACGAACGUGUAAAGAUUAAUUGAAAAAAUUGAGCUUUGGGUUGAAGAAUUUAAAUUUGUGUUGGGCUAGAAUUAAAUAAAUACUGAUUGGAUUCAUCUUUUACUUGUUGGAGUUAUUAAA